rnacentral:rRNA from 1 species
UUGAACGCUGGCGGCAUGCCUUACCCAUGCAAGUCGAACGGCAGCGCGGACUUCGGUCUGGCGGCGAGUGGCGAACGGGUGAGUAAUACAUCGGAACGUACCCUGUUGUGGGGGAUAACUAGUCGAAAGAUUAGCUAAUACCGCAUACGACCUGAGGGUGAAAGUGGGGGACCGCAAGGCCUCACGCAGCAGGAGCGGCCGAUGUCUGAUUAGCUAGUUGGUGGGGUAAAGGCCCACCAAGGCGACGAUCAGUAGCUAGUCUGAGAGGACGAUCAGCCACACUGGGACUGAGACACGGCCCAGACUCCUACGGGAGGCAGCAGUGGGGAAUUUUGGACAAUGGGGGCAACCCUGAUCCAGCAAUGCCGCGUGUGUGAAGAAGGCCUUCGGGUUGUAAAGCACUUUUGUCCGGAAAGAAAUCGCGCUGGUUAAUACCUGGCGUGGAUGACGGUACCGGAAGAAUAAGCACCGGCUAACUACGUG